AGUGAACGCUGGCGGUAGGCCUAACACAUGCAAGUCGAACGGCAGCACAGUAAGAGCUUGCUCUUACGGGUGGCGAGUGGCGGACGGGUGAGGAAUACAUCGGAAUCUACUUUUUCGUGGGGGAUAACGUAGGGAAACUUACGCUAAUACCGCAUACGACCUACGGGUGAAAGCAGGGGAUCUUCGGACCUUGCGCGAUUGAAUGAGCCGAUGUCGGAUUAGCUAGUUGGCGGGGUAAAGGCCCACCAAGGCGACGAUCCGUAGCUGGUCUGAGAGGAUGAUCGGCCACACGGGAACUGAAACACGGUCCAGACUCCUACGGGAGGCAGCAGUGGGGAAUAUUGGACAAUGGGCGCAAGCCUGAUCCAGCCAUACCGCGUGGGUGAAGAAGGCCUUCGGGUUGUAAAGCCCUUUUGUUGGGAAAGAAAAGCAGCAGGUUAAUACCCCGCUGUUCUGACGGUACCCAAAGAAUAAGCACCGGCUAACUUCGUG
rnacentral:rRNA from 1 species